AUUGAACGCUGGCGGCAGGCCUAACACAUGCAAGUCGAGCGGAGCGGCGGACGGGUGAGUAAUGCCUAGGAAUCGGCCUGGUCGUGGGGGAUAACGUCCGGAAAUGGGCGCUAUUACCGCAUCCUCUCGCAUGCGUCUAGGGCGGAUUGGCUGUUGGGUGGGGUAACGGCAUACCAGGGCGACGAGCCGUAGCUGGUCUGAGAGGAUGAUCAGCCACACUGGAACUGAGACACGGUCCAGACUCCUACGGGAGGCAGCAGUGGGGAAUAUUGGACAAUGGGCGAAAGCCUGAUCCAGCCAUGCCGCGUGUGUGAAGAAGGUCUUCGGAUUGUAAAGCACUUUAAGUUGGGAGGCGUUACCAACAGAAGAAGCACCGGCUAACUUCGUGCCAGCAGCCGCGGUAAUAC
rnacentral:rRNA from 1 species